GUGGCUGAGUGAGGCAGCUAGGCUUGUGAGGGAAGUGAUAAGUUUCAGGCCCUGUAGGGGGAUGCAGACCUUUGAUAAUCCUAACCCUUUUCCUGUGCUUGCUGUGAGUCUUUGAGUGACCAGACUUCUGUUUGAGUAGCUUUACAUUAGGGGACCUAGGGCCAGCCCCCCCGGCCUGCCCGCCCUUGUUUGGAGACUGGUUUUUGGAAGAGGUGUUCGACCCUGGGAGAAAGGAUUAUUACACCCAGAUGGCAUCUGGUGAUUCCUGUAAAGGGCUGAAGGAGCUCACUUGAAGGAGGAGCUGCUGGAAACAGAGACUAGCUCAUCCCAGGGUUGACUUGUUUUAGGAUGGCCGGAGACCAGCCAAGAGAUUCGUCUCCCUACCCACAUCUAUCAUCGUGUUUUAAGAUCACCCAAAAUAAAAACCAACAAGGAAGUAUAGGAGUAAAACUCAGCUUGUGUCUGGAGCCUCCUAUCUCACAAUGCAGAUCGGGUCUGGAACUGACCAGGUGACUCAGGAGGGUGAGGAGUGGACCUCGGGCUACAAGUAGGCGGUAACUCUGCUUGAUGCUGGUGAUUCUUCUUCCUCCUCCCCUGCAUCGUCAUGUGUGCAAGUAAAAUCCAGAUGAGAGGGUGGCAGCUAGCAGUUCACCCUUGCUGGCAAGUGUGUUAAACCCUCCCACAACCCUAAGGUGCUGUGCUCUGGCUUACACACCUGAGUAGAACUGAUCCAGCACUCUGCCACUCAGAUGGGCAGCACCUUCCCUCUGACGUGCUGACCCUUAUAUGCCCUGCUGUUACUGGGCAGAUCACAUGUCACAUGGUUCCUCAGUUUCAGUAGAAAGGGCAGGAAACUAUACCUAAGGAGAGGGAAGAAAGGCAGCCAAGAUGGAUUCCUAGUUGUGUUGUCAGAAAUACAGAAAUUCUCCCCCAGCACCAGAAGUACUGGUGGAAGGAGUGUGGAAAUAAAUGAUUGGUUUAUUCAGCUGUCAA